rnacentral:rRNA from 1 species
AGCAUAUCAAUAAGCGGAGGAAAAGAAACCAACAGGGAUUGCCCUAGUAACGGCGAGUGAAGCGGCAACAGCUCAAAUUUGAAAUCUGGCCCUCGGGUCCGAGUUGUAAUUUGUAGAGGAUGCUUUUGGCAAGGUGCCUUCCGAGUUCCCUGGAACGGGACGCCAUAGAGGGUGAGAGCCCCGUCUGGUCGGACACCGCGCCUCUGUAAAGCUCCUUCGACGAGUCGAGUAGUUUGGGAAUGCUGCUCUAAAUGGGAGGUAUAUGUCUUCUAAAGCUAAAUAUUGGCCAGAGACCGAUAGCGCACAAGUAGAGUGAUCGAAAGAUGAAAAGCACUUUGAAAAGAGAGUUAAAAAGUACGUGAAAUUGUUGAAAGGGAAGCGAUUAUGACCAGACUUGGGCCUGUUUGAUCAACUUGGGUUCUCCCGGGUGCACUCUCUCAGGCCUAGGCCAGCAUCAGUUCGUCGCGGGGGACAAAGGUUGCGGGAAUGUGGCUCCCCUCGGGGAGUGUUAUAGCCCGCUUCGUAAUACCCUGCGUCGGACUGAGGUUCGCGCAUUUUGCAAGGAUGCUGGCGUAAUGGUCAUCAUCGACCCGUCUNGAAACACGGACCAAGGGCGA